GACGAAGGGGGCUAGCGUUGCUCGGAAUUACUGGGCGUAAAGGGCGCGUAGGCGGACAGUUUAGUCAGAGGUGAAAGCCCAGGGCUCAACCUUGGAAUUGCCUUUGAUACUGGCUGUCUUGAGUUCGGGAGAGGUGAGUGGAAUGCCGAGUGUAGAGGUGAAAUUCGUAGAUAUUCGGCGGAACACCAGUGGCGAAGGCGGCUCACUGGCCCGAUACUGACGCUGAGGCACGAAAGCGUGGGGAGCAACAGGG
rnacentral:rRNA from 1 species